rnacentral:lncRNA from 1 species
GUAAGUCCUGCCUGGUUCUGGAACUCCCCACAUGCCUUGCCCUGCAUGGUUUGUCUUUGAGGAUGAACUCUGUUCCUGUGCACAGCCAGGGAGGGAAAGGGCAAGACCAGCCUUAGGCAGUCUGAGUUUGGUUGUGAGCCCUGCCAUGAACUUUCCAUGUGACUCUAGACAGUUUCUCCUGACCUUGGGGCUUGAUUUGCUCAUCUGUACAUGGGGUUAGGAAUUGGAAUAGAUUGUGUCUUGGGGCCUUCUGACUUUGGGCUGAAUCCUCACACCCAAGGCUCCAGGGGGUGGCCCAAUACCUGUCAUGCCCACAGCACUGUGCAAGCUUAUGAAUGAGUUUGCUUUGUCUCUCACUUAUCUAGGGACUUGGCCACCUCUCACAGGUGUCCACUCAGGGCUGGGGCCAUGCUGGCACCCAGGCAGGAAGGCCCAGGACUGCCUCCUGGGUGCUCACAGCCUGAUGGGAGCAGGGACAGCAGUGACAGAUGCAGCCCUAGCUGGGGGGUGUUCGUCUGCUGGUUCUGUGCCCCAUGGCUCGGCUGGUGAAACUAUCCUGGGGAGGGGCUGCAUUGCUCACCCUGUUCUCUCCAGUGUACCCAUGGAGAACCUCUGGAUCUUGUAGGCUCACCUCUUGAUACAUAUUGUGAGCAGGCUGGGCAUGUCCAGGAAGCUGAAGGGACCCCACUCCUGCAGUAGCUCAUUGCAUCAGCCUAGGAACAGAGGCCCAGGCAUGACUGCCAGCCUGCAGGCCUGCUCUGUCAGCUGUUGGGAGGCCCCUGAGGAUCUUGACUCUUCCCAUUUAGGGCUUGCAGGCCCAGGCAUGUCAUGGUGUCUUGCACAAGGGUUGUAGGCUGGGUUACAACUAGUGUAGGAGUAGGCAGAGGAGGAGGCACCAGGCUCAGCCAGCCAGCAUCACUAGAGUGCCCAACCGGGACCCCAGGGGUUGGUCUUCACUUCACCCAUGACGUCUUGAAUUCUUGGGGCUGUUGGAGGACAUCGUGAAAUCAAGGACACUGAAAGGAUUCACAAAACCAAGAGGGCUGACUGCACAGACUUGGGAGAGGAGCCCAGCCUGCAGCCCGCCCCCCACCCCUGCCAAGGCCCUGGAGGCUACAGAGGGUUUCCUGAAAUGCCCAAUCACCAGGUAGACAUCGAGUUCCAAGGAUGUGCUUGUUGUUGUGGCAGGAAGGUCUGUUGUGUGCGCAGUGUUCCGUCAUGCUUGCCCAACUCCAUAUCUGGACAUAUUAUUUUAAGAACAAUCUGUAAAAGUUUCUUCUGCGUUUUGCUUCUGUAUUUCUGCUUGUCAACUCCCCUCUAGCAUCUCCUAUAAAAGGACCUCAGGCUCUGAGCCAGUU